rnacentral:rRNA from 1 species
GACGAACGCUGGCGGCGUGCCUAAUACAUGCAAGUAGAACGCUGAAGAGUGGUACUUGUUCUAACUGGAUGAGUUGCGAACGGGUGAGUAACGCGUAGGGAACCUGCCUUGGAGCGGGGGAUAACUAUUGGAAACGAUAGCUAAUACCGCAUAACAACGUUUGACACAUGUCAUUUGUUUGAAAGGUGCAAUUGCAUCACUCCAAGAUGAACCUGCGUUGUAUUAGCUAGUAGGUGAGGUAAUGGCUCACCUAGGCGACGAUACAUAGCCGACCUGAGAGGGUGAUCGGCCACACUGGGACUGAGACACGGCCCAGACUCCUACGGGAGGCAGCAGUAGGGAAUCUUCGGCAAUGGGCGAAAGUCUGACCGAGCAACGCCGCGUGAGUGAAGAAGGUUUUCGGAUCGUAAAGCUCUGUUGGAAGAGAAGAACGGGGGUGAGAGUGGAAAGCUCACCAUGUGACGGUAGCUUACCAGAAAGGGACGGCUAACUACGUG